UACGGAGGGUGCAAGCGUUAUCCGGAUUCACUGGGUUUAAAGGGUGCGUAGGCGGGCAGGUAAGUCAGAGGGGAAAUCUCCGGGCUUAACCCGGAAACUGCCUUUGAUACUAUCUGUCUUGAAUAUGGUGGAGGUAAGCGGAAUAUGUCAUGUAGCGGUGAAAUGCUUAGAGAUGACAUAGAACACCUAUUGCGAAGGCAGCUUACUACGCCUAUAUUGACGCUGAGGCACGAAAGCGUGGGGAUCAAACAGG
rnacentral:rRNA from 1 species